GACGAACGCUGGCGGCGUGCUUAACACAUGCAAGUCGAACGGAAAGGCCCUGCUUUUGUGGGGUGCUCGAGUGGCGAACGGGUGAGUAACACGUGAGUAACCUGCCCUUGACUUUGGGAUAACUUCAGGAAACUGGGGCUAAUACCGGAUAGGAGCUCCUGCUGCAUGGUGGGGGUUGGAAAGUUUCGGCGGUUGGGGAUGGACUCGCGGCUUAUCAGCUUGUUGGUGGGGUAGUGGCUUACCAAGGCUUUGACGGGUAGCCGGCCUGAGAGGGUGACCGGCCACAUUGGGACUGAGAUACGGCCCAGACUCCUACGGGAGGCAGGAGUGGGGAAUAUGGCACAAUGGGCGGAAGCCUGAUGCAGCAACGCCGCGUGCGGGAUGACGGCCUUCGGGUUGUAAACCGCUUUCGCCUGUGACGAAGCGUGAGUGACGGUAAUGGGUAAAGAAGCACCGGCUAACUACGU
rnacentral:rRNA from 1 species